rnacentral:rRNA from 1 species
UAUGGUUGCCAGCAGCCGCGGUAAUACGUAGGGGGCUAGCGUUAUCCGGCAUUACUGGGCGUAAAGGGUGCGUAGGUGGUUUCUUGAGUCAGAGGUGAAAGGCUACGGCUCAACCGUAGUAAGCCUUUGAAACUGGGAAACUUGAGUGCAGGAGAGGAGAGUGGAAUUCCUAGUGUAGCGGUGAAAUGCGUAGAUAUUAGGAGGAACACCAGUUGCGAAGGCGGCUCUCUGGACUGUAACUGACACUGAGGCACGAAAGCGUGGGGAGCAAACAGG